UACGUAGGUGGCAAGCGUUGGUCGGAAUUGUUGGGCGUAAAGGGUGCGUAGGCGGCGCGGUAAGUCGGGUGUGAAAUCUCGGAGCUUAACUCCGAAACUGCAUUCGAUACUACCGUGCUUGAGGACUGGAGAGGAGACUGGAAUUUACGGUGUAGCGGUGAAAUGCGUAGAUAUCGUAAGGAAGACCAGUGGCGAAGGCGGGUCUCUGGACAGUUCCUGACGCUGAGGCAGGAAGGUCAGGGGAGCAAACGGG
rnacentral:rRNA from 1 species